UUUAAGUUGUUGCAGUUAAAAAGCUCGUAGUUGGAUUUUGGUUAAGAGGGCGCGGUCGGCCGUUUGGUCUGUACUGCGUUGUCUUGACUUCCUGAUGAGGACAUGCUCUUGGUUAACGCUGAGACAUGGAGUCAUCGUGGUUACUUUGAAAAAAUUAGAGUGUUCAAAGCGGGCUUACGCUUGAAUAUAUUAGCAUGGAAUAACACUAUAGGACUCCUGUCCUAUCUCGUUGGUCUCGGGAUGGGAGUAAUGAUUAANAGGAACAGUUGGGGGCAUUCGUAUUUCAUUGUCAGAGGUGAAAUUCUUGGAUUUAUGAAAGACGAACUUCUGCGAAAGCAUUUGCCAAGGAUGUUUCCAUUAAUCAAGAACGAAAGUUGGGGGCUCGAAGAUGAUUAGAUACCAUCCUAGUCUCAACCAUAAACGAUGCCGACUAGGGAUUGGUGGAUGUUAAUUGAUGACUUCACCAGCACCUUAUGAGAAAUCAAAGUUUUUGGGUUCCGGGGGGAGUAUGGUCGCAAGGCUGAAACUUAAAGGAAUUGACGGAAG
rnacentral:rRNA from 1 species